rnacentral:lncRNA from 1 species
AUCAGCACAACAUUAGUGGCGGGCAAGACAGCAUGCCCGUUCCUGAUGAGUAUAAAAUUUUAUGUUUUUUUAUUUUAUGUUUGUCAUGUUCCUUUUACAAUUUCAACCAAACUUAAUGGCUUCUAUUGUAGUCCCAACUAUAUGUACGUUUUAAUAUGGUUUACUUUGUGUGAAAAUUAGAUGUAGGUUUUUUUUAACCAUAUUAAUUGUAGUAGCUUCACAAAACACCCUAUUUUUGCAUUUGGAAAAUGAAAAAUCAUUAAUUUUUUAUAACCAAACAUUUGUAAACCUCUUUGGCAAUAUUGUUUGUCAUGACAAGAUGCACCUUUGGGCAAAAAAUGGAUGCAUUAUCAUGAACUCUGACGUAGAGUUGGACAAAUUUUAGUCAUUUGGCUUAAAAAAUAACAAGUUUGUACUACAUAGGUCAUUUUUAAAAUGUUAACAUCUGAUAUUAUUGUUCCACUAUGUUAAGCAAGAAAAAAUUAGACUUCAGCAAAAAGAAUCACAUAUUUCUGAUUUUUUAUGAAUUAGUUAUGAUUUUUUCAAUCUUCAAAUGUCUCCCGGGGUCAUUAGUGGCGGGCCUGGAUUUAAAGUCCGCCACUGAUGUGUGCUUUUGUGAAUUUUGUUAUUUUUCACAUAAAACCAUUAGCGACGGGCCUCCCGCGCCCAUUACUGAUGAGUGGUCAUCGGUGACGGGCCCUGCAUGCCCGUUAGUGAUGAGGCGUCAUCAGUGACAGGCGGUCAUCAGUGGCGGUCGUACCACGCACGUCACUGAUAAGGGGCGAGCACGCGACCGUCACUGAUGCCACUCAUCAGUGACGGGCGUGGUACACCCGCCACUGAUGAUGGUCAUCAGUGACGGACGCGAAAGGCCCGUCACUGAUUACUCGUCACAUAUACACUGUUUUGUAGUAAUGAAGUCAACAUUUUGCCCAGUCUUCUCAGUUUGAAUACUCUAUCAACUUUAGUCACUACAGAGAUUCAUACAAAAAUAACCUCUCUCUACUUUAAUUGGAAAACUCUAUCAAGUUUAGUCACUAUCGAUUCUUAUAAAAAACCACUCUCUACUUUAAUUGGAAUAAUCUACCAAGUUUAGCCGGUUGGUUUCAUAUAAAAACAAUUAAAUAAGUCCUUCCACAUAAUGGUGACUUGACACUGGCCCGAAUAAGCUAACGUGUAGAUAAGCUAUAAACGAAACAACAAAAACAGAGGCAUUUGAAAGAGAUGAAACACAAGAUUCCAAAAGUCUCCCACGUGUUCAUGUCCGAGGACUAGUACCAGUCGCGCCAAGCUUUCGCAACAAGUGAACAAUAUAGCGCAUAGUAGGUACAUACACCAAUCCAGUUCACUCAAAAGCAUUACACUUGCACUUCGCGACGUCGUUUAUAGUGGGGUUGUCGAUCGAUGGAUACGCAAGAGGUCGUGUUGGCGCAUGUCGAAUAUGUAGAUCAAUUGGCGAGGCCAAUGAUGUCACGUCAUUAGUUCUCCUUUCUUGUGAAAGUUUCUACAUAUUUCUUGAGUCUGGAUGUGCCGAAACUGCUUUUGGCUCAGGUGUAUUAGGUUUCUAUAUUAUUAUUUUUAAUUCAGAAACAAGUUUCUGGAGUUGUAAAAAUUCUGAAAAACUUUCAUGUGCACAUAUAUCUAUAUAUAGAUGCUCCCUGCACCCUUGUAAAAUAUCAUGAUUAAAUAUUUUAAUGUGUGGACUACAUAAAAAGACAAAUAUUUAUAUCUAUUUGCUAUUAUACAUUUUUUGCGAGAAAUCUAUUUGCUAUAAUAUUAUAGGUGUUAGCACAUUUGUUAUUUUCUGUGUAGCACACAAAUGAACAUGUUUAUUAAGGAAACUUUACAGGUGCGCAGCAGACAUGUCUGUCGGGGGGAUGACCCCGGGUAGGGUCAUGACGACAUAACACUAGCCGGGAUGACAGAGAAAGUUCUAGCCGAGAUACAGGAAGUCAGGUCGGCUUAGGUAAUCUUGCCUGUUUCUCCAGGUUUGGCUAACGCGAAGCCGACAUACCUAGCUUAUGUCGGCCUGGCAGUUCUAUGCUGCCCCGCUCGCAGGAUCAAGAUGAAUACGGGAGUCUCAGCAAGAGCCGAGAUCCCUCAACGGUCUUAUCCUAAUACAACUAGGCAGGAGCAGGAGUCUUACCUCGACAAGAGGGCUCCGAACCUGGGUAAAUCGGUGUGUUCUUGUGUGAUUUGUGCGUGUUCUUCUUCAUGUCCUCCCUCCUCCGGAUCCCCCAUCGUCCAUCGGCCCCAAUUCAAGCCAUCCCAUGGCAUCUGCCGUGACACCACCACGACAGUUGGCGCCCACCGUGGGGCCAGCAGCGGCUCUGGUUGGGGUUACCAUCUGGACGGGAAGUUUCCUCGCCAUCGGGGAGCGCGUAGUCUCCGGUUUGGUCGAGAGAUUCGGCUCUCUGGGCUUCAUCGACAACAACGCAGGCUACUUCAACGGCGCACCGUUUCCUUGCGCGGGCCGCUUCAUCGACUUCGGCAUGCACGAGGUUUAUGUGGCCACUGACCGCCCUUGCAGGUACCCAGAACAGGUGUUGGUGGCCGGAGAUCCCCCUGCUCUCGGCAAGCUGAGCGGCCGACAUGUCGACUGCCCCGCUGACCGCGUGGAGGUCAUGGUGGCAGCCCAUGCCGCCGAUGCUGGCAAGGGCACCACGGAGAGUGGCGCGGUCCCAAGCAGAUCCGGCAGAACGGCGAAAUUCCCCUUGGAGAAGCCGGACAAUGUCGCGACACAAGCCGGCACGUCAGCUUUGCCGCCGAAGUCCACUCACCUUCAGGCCUCCAUCGAGUGGCUGACCACGCCGAUAGCAUCGAACGCCAACCCGGCUCAGCUGCAGGCGGACUUGGAGGCGGAAAGGCAAAGGCUGCUAAAGGAGGCAGUCGACGUUGCCAGCGCCCGACAGCAGCUCGAGAUCUUGCUUCGUGAGUAUAACAAAGCUCAUGGUCUUAGUUCUACUGCGUUUACUAACCCUAGCAAAGUCGGUGAGGUGCGUAACCGUGGUAAGAAUUUGAAUGCCGAGAUGACAAGAGAUGGCAGGGGUGUGCCAACAGUGUCGGCAAGUUUUGCCUCAGCGCUAAAGCCGAAAUACAAUACCCCUGUCAAGAAUCUCCGGGCGGCCGAGGCUGCAGCUGAAGAACUGCCGAAUCUCACAGGAGAGGCACUUCGACAGCAGCAACUGCGCAUAAAAGAACUGCUCCAAACAGCAAACGAGCAGAACAAGGCAUACAUGAGGCUGCAUGGCAAAGCUGGCGCAUCGCAAGUCGUUCACUCGGCAGCAGAUGCCGGUGGCCGGGCCAACAAGCAAGCAUCCUCGCCUGGUGGCAAAUGAGACAAAAGUGUCAACUCAGGCCGGGACAAACAUCUUGAAUGCAGUGAUCCAGCUCUAGCCGACAGUCAACUAGUCAGGAGAGUUGAUGACAGCCAAAGUGGUCUAUGUCCUGGCGGCAAUCACCGAGAUCAACCGGAUCGUUACUCGUUCGAUCACGGAACGUCGGCCUCGGGGGCCGGCACCCAAUACUGCUGCAAGACAGCAGGGUGUCGGACGCAACCCGCUAUUUCAAGAGGAGGAUCGCCGAUACGAUCGUUACAAUGAUGGGUACUCGGCCUUGGCCGACGAAGGUUAUAUCAGGCGAGAACGCGACAGCCUCAGCCCGCUAGGAGGCAGGGUCGGAAACAGGCAGGUGUCACCUCUGGACGCUCGACAUAGACUUGACCGAAUAUAUCUGUCAGAAUUACUGGAAGAACAAGGUCCUCCGGGACCGCGUUGCUUUGCGAACCGAAUCAUGAGGGAAAGACCAACCCCGGGUUUCCAGCUGCCCAGGGGUACGAGAACGUAUGAUGGCAGUACGAAGCCGGAGGACCGGUUAGAAGACUAUGUCACGGCAGUGAGCGUGGCAGGCGGCAAUCGCAGAUGGGCGGUGCGUUACGUGCCACAGAUGCUUGUGGGGCCGGCAAGGAUAUGGCUGAACAAUUUGCCGUAGAGCAGCAUUAACUUCUGGAUUGAUUUCGUGGAAGCCUUCAUGAGCAACUUCACCAGCACUUACAAGAGCCCGAAUCGUCCUCAGCAGCUGUCCAUGUGCAAACAGAAAGACGGCGAGACUGAUCGGGAUUACCUGACUAGGUGGAACAAUCUCCGCAAUUCUUGUGAAGGAAUAGUGGAAUCGCAGGCCAUAGCGUGGUUUGCCCAAGGAUGUCGGCACGGCAGCAUGGUAUGGCAGAAGCUACAAAGGGAGAUGCCGGCUACACUAUCCGAAAUGAUCAGAAUAACCGACAUGUACGUGCUUGGCGAUCCGACUCAACCAUCGCUGAUGUCGCCAGAACCGCAAAGGGAGCAGCCGGUGUACAAUCCUGGGGCGUUCUGAAAGAAUGAUCAUCAAGAUCAUCGCAACAAGAGAAGGGAUGGCAGGCCGGAUUGUCGCACCAGUGGCACCCGAGGUACCACCGCUGCGCGACGCGUGGGCCCCGUUCCGGAGUUCUCGGAAAGGUUUCAUCCCGGGCAGCGUCUAUGAGCAGCCCGGCAAGCUACCAGCCCAGAAAGGGCUAGCGGGGCUUCGGGGAAUAUUCCCGCCUGGGCACCUCUCGGGAAGCUACUUCCCGAGGGAGGUUCCCGGGUGCCUUGGGCCUGGGCGCUUCCCGGGGUCGACUUGCCGGGACAGGGGGUUCCCGGGCGCAUGCCCCCGCCUCAAGCGUGGGGCCCAGUAGCCAGAUUGUAACAUCCCAAUUUUCAAAAUUCUUCAUAUGCAUUGCAUAUCAUAAGCAUCAUGUCACCCUUGCAUUUGAUCACUUUCAAAAUCCUAAAGUUUGCCCAGAAAACCCUUUUUGCAAAAAUGCUUUUAUUUGAUUUUGGGCUUUGAUCUUGCUCUCGAGUAUUUGCAUUUUUAACCCAUGAGGGUAUUGUGGUAAAAAGGGAUUUAAUGCAUAUAUAGAGCUAUCCCAUAAGUUGGCUUUUCAAAGUAUUUUGAAAAAAUAAUUUGCUUCGAUAGCCUAAGGGCCCUAAAAGCCGUUUUAUAGGCAAAUGUAUUUUUAAGUAUUUUAUUUUGAGGAAAUUCUUGUUCCAAAAGUUAGAUCAUAUGAAAAUAUGAUUUUACAAAUUUUGUUGCAUUUUAUUUGGAGUGAUUUGGAGCUCCGAAUCAAUUUUGAGGUUCAAAAUCAGAAAAUAGAUAAAAGAAAAGGAAAAACCGAACCGAACCGGUCAAACCGGACCAAACCGGUCAAACCGGCCGGACCAGAUCGAACCGGACCGGCUCCGCCGAGCCCGAGCCGCCCGCUCUCACUGACCGGUGGGACCCACGCGUCAUCUUCAACCUCCGUCCGAAAAAUCCGGCCACGCACGCCCGCGAACUACCCACGACUCCACCUCCGAUUUCUCCGCGCUCGGGCCGUUUUCUCCAAAUCCUUGCACAUCACCCCGAAGGCCUCGCUUUUCUCCUCCACUUUCCCCAAACCCCACAUCCAAUUUCGCACCGGUUAGAAAGUAAUUGCUCGCCGGAGUUCGUUGCUGCCACCGCCGUUCUUCGCGUUUCGUCGCCGUUCCGGUGAGGUUCUCCCCGCGCCACUCCCCUAGACUCUCUCCUCUCCCCGUCCCGAACGCCGUGACGCGCUCGCCUUUGCGUUUGGCCGCCGUCCGCGCGCCGCCUCCGGCCGCCCGCGCCGGUCAUCUUCCUCAGCGCCGGCCGCCGUCCGCGCGCCGCCUCCGCCUCCCGCUCCGAAUGGCCGCACCCCCGCGCCGCCCCGUGCGCCGCGCCGCCCGCCGCCCUCCGCGCGCUGUCCGUGCCCGCGCCGCCGCCUGCGCCACCUUGCUCCGCCCGCGCGCCGCCCGUCGCGUCCUGCGUCCCGCGCCGCCUCCGCGCUGCCCGCGCGACCCGCUGCCCCGCGCCGCCGACCGCCGCCGUGCGCGCGCCGCCCCUGCUGCUCGCCCGCGCCGCCCCUGCCCGCGCCGCCGCCGGCGAGCUAGCCGCCGGCCGGAACCCUAGAAACCGGCCAGUCCCGCGCUGCCACGUGGCAAGGCUUUCUUGUUUAUUUUAUUUUCGGCCGAAGUGGAUAAUGCACUUUUGCAGAAAAGCCCCUACAACUUCAAAACCCCAUAUCUUUUAAACCGUUUGUCCAAAAUUUACGAUCCACACCUUUCUGGAAUCGUCGCAACGUGUGGAAUAUUUUGGCACUGUUUAUUUUCAGUUUUGAAUAACUUAGAUAGUAGCUAUUUACAGAAUAGUGGUUUAUGGUUUAAAUUUCAAAUGAAUUGUUUCAAAAAUAGUUUUGAGCAUGUUAGCUUGCUAUAAAAUUAUUUAAACUCGUUCUCUAUCCAUUAGGACCAGAAAAGGAAUUAUUUUGUGUAUAAUCAUGGCAUUCGAGUUAACUAUUGCUCUAUGUUACAAAAGCCGCACAAUCUUUUGUUUUAAACCCUAUUCAUGUAUCAUGCAUAUUAAUUACCACUUUGAUGUUGUAUAAUCUGUCCAAAUCUUUUGAGAGCCUUUUCAAAACAGAAACGAAACUUUGUACGUUAGAAGUAACCUUUGUGUGCAUCAUCUUGGCAUAUGCAUCAUGGCAUGGUUUUUGUAUUGAAUGUUGUGUUUAUUGUGUGUGUUUCUUUUAUUUUAGAUUGUGUGGAGUGUAUUUCUUGUGGUUGCGAAGAGUGCGAGAACUACCAUAACCUUGGACAAGGCAAGUUCACUUUGAUCAUAUCCCAUUAUUAUUGUUGUUUUAAAAUACUUAUGCAUUAGUGUUGUUGGUAGAGAUGCAUUGAUAGGACUAUUACUCGUACCUCUAUGCUAGCUAUAAAUCCCAGGUAGUAUAGUUUACCCUCGCCAUUACCUUGCUACCAAAUUGCCAUCGAUUGUAGUUUGAAUGCUAAGCUAUGGUAGUAUCGUGGGGGAAAUAACUACAUUAUGAUAUUGUUAUGCCUUUGGCUAUAUGAAAUGUU